UACGUAGGCAGCGAGCGUUGUUCGGAAUUACUGGGCGUAAAGGGUGAGUAGGCGGUGCCAUAAGUUUGGUGUGAAAUCUCCCGGCUUAACUGGGAGGGUGCGCCGAAGACUGUGGUGCUUGAGUGUGGGAGAGGUAAGCGGAAUUCCUGGUGUAGCGGUGAAAUGCGUAGAUAUCAGGAGGAACACCUGUGGUGUAGACGGCUUACUGGACCACGACUGACGCUGAAUCACGAAAGUGUGGGUAGCAAACAGG
rnacentral:rRNA from 1 species